GGAUGUGAGGGCGAUCUGGCUGCAACAUCUGUCACCCUCAUUGCUCCGUGUGUGUCUCUCCUGAAGCUGUGUGCUUGGUAGAAGAGAACGACCUUCCCUGAAUAGAGGAGGGCCAGAUUUGUGUGACAAUUUAAAUUGUCCUUUCCUGGUCUCAUCUUCUCGAACUAUUGCUACUUUUUGUGUUUUGUU
ensembl:misc_RNA 7SK 7SK RNA